AGAAACGAUAUUGUCAUUUGUUUCUCCAGGACUCCUUAAUAAUGUUAUUUACAAAUUGUAAUGCUGUAGCUGUGAAGCCUCAUAUGUUGGACAAACGAGCAGAAAACUCUCUACGCGUAUUUCUGAGCAUAGGAGAAUUCCUAUGAGAUCUAUCGCGGAUUUGACGGCCGUCCAGGAACAUUGUUUAAGUGAAGUUUGAUUGAUUGGGAACAUGUAAAGAUUUUACAUAAGGAACGUUUUUACUUAAAACAUCUAAUAGCAGAAAUGAUUUUCAUCAGAUUAUAAAAACAAGGACUAAAUUCGCAAAAUGACAUUGAAUAUUUAGGCAACAGCUAUUAUUUAUUUUGAUGAAUCUCUUUUUGUCUCUUUUUCUUGCACGUUCGCGUACAAUUUCGACUUUUAUUUCAAUUAUUUCGACUUUUGUGUAUAUAAAUCUUUUCUUGUGCUUAUACCGAGACUUGGCGAUAUUACCGUCGACAAUACUGUUUCUGCCUUAUUGUUGGGCCUCUACAAUUUGUCCAAGGAUUGAGAUCUAAAAUCGAGAACAUCGGUAUAAGCUCGAAUACUGUUGGCUCCGUUUGCAUUCGAUCGCAUGAUAAAGAAUUUCGGACUCGCUCACCUUUUAAUGGAUUGCAGCCACUCUUUGAACUGAGUAUUUCCUUCAGGAUUGAUCUGGAAAGCAGCCCGGGCCGCGCAUACAACACUAGCGAACUCUUCGUAAUCGCUAGACGUUAAGUGAUACAAUUUUUGAUGCAUACACUGAAUAUACCUGAAAUCAAGAAUAUACAAAGUGUUAUUUGGCGCUGACUGGAAAAGGCAGAGCCUCUGACUUAAAAGGUAACUCUAAUCUGUUACUCGGUCUUUGUUCUGAUAAAGAACAAUACUAACAUCUGUUGGCACUUGUGUACUAGCGGCGCCAAUAAGGCAGAUCUCAAGUGCUGCAAAAUGAGCGCCGGAUUGUUUCUAGCAAGAUAUUGAGCCGCUUCCAGAGCGACAUGAUGGAGAACGAAGGGACUGACGAUACUGUUCACAGCGCAGAUACAGAGCUGAUGCAUAUAUUGUGUACCGAGACGCUUCGCGACUCUGAGCAGGAAUUUGACAUCUUCGCCAUACGGUGGAUUUCGAGCAUACUUAGCCUGAGGUCGGUCGUCGUGUACUCUACGAGCCAAAGUCUCUAAAGCUAACAUUCCCACACGAUAGGCAGAGACGAGUGUCCGCAAAUGUUGCUGACUGAACGGUUGAUUUUGCCUAUGCACCUGCGACAACAAAUUUAACAUUUUUAUUUGUACCACAAGACGCACACACGAAGUUAAUCUUAUACUUUUAUUGUACUAUGGAAAUUACCUGAGGUUGAGUUCUUACAGUCGAUAUUAUAGGUUGUGUUUGGACCAACGGCGGCCCGGGUAAGGUAUUCUGUCCUGGGAGAGGACCAGCUACUCCCGCUUGAACCUGAGUGAAAUAUGAGUUAAUGUAACUCUCCAAAAGAAGUGAAAAAACAAGUAACAAGAUAACGCGCUUACAUUAACCGGCAUAGGAUAUAAGUGAUGAGCUCCUGGCGUCGGUGGAGGCUGUGCAGUGUAAUACUGUGGCCCAGGUGGUGGUGGUGCGGGCGGAGGUGGAUGAUGAGGAUGUGGGGGAUGUUGCGGAUGCUGAGGAUGUCCCGGAUGAGGUGGGAACGCGUGGUACAUCUGCAUGUGCGGAGGCGCUGGCGGCAGAGUGACACGAUGAGACGGCAUUGGGCCGCUGAAUGUGGCGAUAGAGUGGUGAGGAUGUACAAAACUGAAGGGGCCUACUGCGUACGGCAUGCCGACUCCUGGAAAAAAAUUGCAAUAACGUAUGUUGAGACAGUUUGACGAUAUUUUUUAUAAGAGCAGAGCGAUUUUCGUUUAUUUUACCUAAAGGUGCCAAAGUUGUAAUUGUUGGAUGAGCGGAGUACGGCUGAGGUGGGGGUUGCGUGCUAGUCACAACAACUGCUUGAGUCGGCCCCGGCAUCAUUUGGUUAUUCGGUAAAUCCACGGGAGGCCCCGGUUCAACUAACAGUACCCCAUUGAGAUCCAAUUGCAAAGGAUCAUGUGGAACUUCAUCCUGCUGGUCACCGCCAGGAUUUCGCUGUUCAAAAAAGAACACGAAGAGAAACGUAUUUAAUAAACUAAUCGACAAACACACAUCACAUCCGCACACCGUCAAGCUUUCAACUUACCCGGAGAAACAACUCGUACCAAUACUUUGCCACUUGGAAAAGCACUUCUGGGUAAACACCACCACCUUUCGCGGUGUUUUCCACUGUGAUGCAGGCUUUCUCCAACAUAGUUUCACUCUGCUCCUUACACUGUAAGAGAAGAAUAAAACAUCGUGUAAUAAUCAAACUAUAUGUAAUUAACAAAAAAUAGAAUGUAAAGUAUAACUCAAUAGCGUCGUGCAUACUUGAGAUAUAGCUCUCUGGAUUUCAUUGGGGUUGAGAGCGUGUGCGUGCGGUAAACAAGAUAAAGCGAGCUCUGCCGCCGCUCUGACCAUAUUCGGGUCGCUUCCUCUCGAAGACUUAUCGGCUAUACUUGCAGCCUCCGGUGGUGUCAAGUGGCCUUCCCAGCUAUCGAUGAGGAACCAGAUAGCUGGGGCUCCGAUUUCCAUCGCCUGGCCUGUUAUCCAGGAUACGUGACUCGAGUAUGUGCGACUGAGCCAAUUUGGACUGACACAAUUAUGCAGACCGAGGGAAUAUAAGCCAAGUUGAAAAGCGCACAUGUGAAGCGCUCUAUGCGGACCAUGAUGAUUCUGACUGGUGGAUGGUUGAUGGAACAAUGAAGUGGAGCUGGUGCCACCAGCCUUCGCCAGGACUGUUUUAGCAAGUUCACACAUGAAAUGUGCGCUCGCUUCCGACGGCUGGUUGGGAAUAGACGGAUAUACUCUUUUACUCUUAUAUCUGGACACAAAAAAGGAAAACAGAGAUAUUAGACACAACUCGUCGCACAACACAUAUAUUUUAUUGGACUGUGUAAUAAGUAAUUUUGGACUUUUCAGGUAAAAUGAAAUAGUUGUUUCAAUAUUAUAGUUUUAUGAAACAAUGUAUGUACAAAGGAUGGUAGAAAACGGUGUAUACAUCGUUAAAAUUGUAAUUUGUCAUAAAAAUACAAUUAUCUUAUUUUACCUAGCAAAAUCCGAAAUUAUUUAACCCAAUAUUAUAGUAUAAUUUGUUUCACAAGCACAUACCGUUCUUUAGUUCUAAUAGGCACAGAUGGCUGAACAAUCUGCGGUUGUAUAGUCAGCGCACUCAUACCACUCUCUAGCUCUGCGCUGGUGCUGCUGUGAGGUCUACUGCUACCGCCGACGAUAUUAUCAGCAUUCCCACCGUUAUCCGUCCCGGCAAGAGGCGACGAGCGUUCAUCAUCGUGAACACAUCUUGACAUCUACGAUUUUUACGAGAACGACGUUAAAAAUCACACGAGAACACUUCAUAUUAUAAGAGAACCACAGUUUUUCUUGUGAUCUUCUCACCUCGCUUUUAGUAGGUGGAUUGGAGGUAUAAUAGCUACUGAGAAUGGGUGAUUUGAUUAGUUGAUGCACAUCUCGGUCGAGUAAUUUGUCCAUGAUUCUAGCCAAUUUGACAGGAUCGUCUUUGUAAUGAACGAGUAAAGUAAUAGCCAACUCCCCUCUGAGAAAGAAAGAAAUUGCGUGUUUUUAUCUAUAUUAUCACGCAUACACACAAACGCACGCUAAUAUUAACAAAAGUUACCUCUGUCUACGUGUUCCUUCGCAAAGAAGUGGAUGAUCCGCUUCGCUCACAUUCGCCUUUAAUCCCAAGACAGCUACGGCCGCGUCAAAUCCGAGAUUCGGAUCGAUCUCUGCCGGCAAUUUCACUCCUAAGAAGCAUUCCAUCUUAAUUUUUCUAUCAACCUUAUAGAUUGACCUGAUUGAUUGACCUUAUGAUUUAAUAAACAAAUUUUUAAUUAAA